AGAGUUUGAUCCUGGCUCAGGACGAACGCUGGCGGCGUGCUUAACACAUGCAAGUCGAGCGAGGCUUCGGCCUAGCGGCGAACGGGUGAGUAACACGUGAGCAACCUGCCCUUGGCUCUGGGAUAGCCUCCGGAAACGGGGAUUAAUACCGGACAUGACCUGCUCCUGCAUGGGGGCGGGUGGAAAGUUUUUCGGCCAGG
rnacentral:rRNA from 1 species